UGCACCUAAAAGCGUUUUCUUGCCAGCCUAUUAAAUGCUCUUGAAAAUCGUAGAUGUGUGCCAAAAAAAUCCACACAAUAGCAUGUGAUUUUAGUUUGCUAGCUCUAAUCCGUUUACUUUGUGUACAAUC